UCGAUGUCGGCUCAUCACAUCCUGGGGCUGAAGCCGGUCCCAAGGGUAUGGCUGUUCGCCAUUUAAAGUGGUACGCGAGCUGGGUUUAGAACGUCGUGAGACAGUUCGGUCUCUAUCUGCUGUGGGCGUUAGAAAUUUGCGUGGAUCUGACUCUAGUACGAGAGGACCGAGUUGGACAAACCUCUGGUGUAUCUGUUGUUCCGCCAGGAGCAUUGCAGAGUAGCUACGUUUGGAAGGGAUAAGCGCUGAAAG
rnacentral:rRNA from 1 species